rnacentral:rRNA from 1 species
AGAGUUUGAUCAUGGCUCAGAUUGAACGCUGGCGGCAUGCCUUACACAUGCAAGUCGAACGGUAACAGGUCUUCGGAUGCUGACGAGUGGCGAACGGGUGAGUAAUACAUCGGAACGUGCCCGAUCGUGGGGGAUAACGAAGCGAAAGCUUUGCUAAUACCGCAUAAGAUCUAAGGAUGAAAGCAGGGGACCGCAAGGCCUUGCGCGAACGGAGCGGCCGAUGGCAGAUUAGGUAGUUGGUGGGAUAAAAGCUUACCAAGCCGACGAUCUGUAGCUGGUCUGAGAGGACGACCAGCCACACUGGGACUGAGACACGGCCCAGACUCCUACGGGAGGCAGCAGUGGGGAAUUUUGGACAAUGGGCGAAAGCCUGAUCCAGCCAUGCCGCGUGCAGGAUGAAGGCCUUCGGGUUGUAAACUGCUUUUGUACGGAACGAAAAGACUCUGGUUAAUACCUGGGGUCCAUGACGGUACCGUAAGAAUAAGCACCGGCUAACUACGUGCCAGCAGCCGCGGUAAUACGUAGGGUGCAAGCGUUAAUCGGAAUUACUGGGCGUAAAGCGCACGUAGGCGGUUUUUUAAGUCAGAUGUGAAAGCCCCGGGCUCAACCUGGGAAUUGCAUUUGAAACUGGAAAACUAGAGUGUGUGAGAGGGGGGUAGAAUUCCAAGUGUAGCGGUGAAAUGCGUAGAGAUUUGGAGGAAUACCAGUGGCGAAGGCGGCCCCCUGGCACAACACUGACGCUCAGGUGCGAAAGCGUGGGGAGCAAACAGGAUUAGAUACCCUGGUAGUCCACGCCGUAAACGAUGUCUACUAGCUGUUCGUGGUCUUGUACUGUGAGUAGCGCAGCUAACGCACUAAGUAGACCGCCUGGGGAGUACGGUCGCAAGAUUAAAACUCAAAUGAAUUGACGGGGGCCCGCACAAGCGGUGGAGCAUGUGGUUUAAUUCGACGCAACGCGAAGAACCUUACCUACUCUUGACAUCUACGGAAGACUGCAGAGAUGCGGUUGUGCCUUCGGGAACCGUAAGACAGGUGCUGCAUGGCUGUCGUCAGCUCGUGUUGUGAAAUGUUGGGUUAAGUCCCGCAACGAGCGCAACCCCUAUCCUUAGUUGCCAGCGAGUUAAGUCGGGAACUCUAGGGAGACUGCCGGUGAUAAACCGGAGGAAGGUGGGGACGACGUCA